CAAUUUACUAGGCAGGUAAAACAGAAUAACCAAUCAUGGAAUAAAGGUGUGUUAUCAAUUACUAGUACAUUUUCAUGUCGCAUGUCGCAUAGUUCUCUUCUCCACCCUUAGACAGUUUUACGCCUGACGAAUGUAUAAACUACUACUACUACUAAUUUGGGUUAAUGACGACUACCCUGUAAUUGAUAACGUCUCUUCACACAUUUUGACGUUGCUGAUGACUUCUCCUCAGACAUUCUGAUGUCCCUGAUGAUGUCUGCUCACGUCUCAAUACCGUGAUACGAUAAUUUCGAAGCGACUGAGCAGGGUGAUAUAGGCCAAACGAAGGACGACAAUUCUAUAUAGCACGUCUAGAUCACAUGCGAGCGGAGUGAUUUUUGGUAAUUUUUCAAUGGUACAUCACACUUAGACAGAACAAUGUAUUUAUUUGAUUGAUUCAUUGUUUAAAGAUUUUCAACAAAACUCUUCAAGGUCAAAAUAAUAGGAUACUAUUUUCCGAUUUUCUGAUUAUUUUAAAUUUUAAUUUUUGAAUGUUGUGGUCAAACUGUGUUAUCAUGGUAUAUGUCAUUCAAAUAAUUAUAAAAAUACAUAAAACAGACAAAUAUUCAUUCUGGUGAAAUCCUAUCGAUAUAGGUAUGUUUUCUUUAGAAAUUGAAUUUGGAAAAUUGGAAGAAGAGGGUUUUGUCAUUAUAAUUCUUCCUAACUUUAUUUAUAUGCUAACUAAAAUAAAUGCUUAAUCGGAACUGUUAAAUUGGUAUUGUUGCACGCUGCUAAUAAAAGAGAGAUACAAUUUAAUUAAUACAUUUUACUUUACACUGCAAUGGUACAAGUUAAUUCACAAGUUAAAUUAUGUGCUUCAAUAUUAAUGAACAUUAACAUUGUUAUUUGUAGGAUUCAUUAUAAUAAUGAUUGAUUGUUUAUUUGUUUUGAUAAUUUCAGACCUUGCAAUAAAGAAUCCAAAACUCA